rnacentral:lncRNA from 1 species
UUUAGCUAUCGUUUUCAAACCAAAUUACAAGCUAAUAAAGUCCAUCGUUGACUUAUUCUUUCAUGACAAUCCAAAGUGAGGAUCAUGCUCAUAAAAAAUUCAUCAAAUCGUUUGUGAUCAUAAGGGUAUAACCCGUUUCCACAUGUUUAGCUAUCACUUCUGUCCAUAUGUUACAAGCCUAGAAAGCUUGUAUGUUGACUAAGUUUUCUUGAAAAAUAAGGGUGACAAACUCUUUGCUUUCACUAAGAUGUGGUAUUGAAAGGAUUACAUACAAUAUUGGGCAAAAAAAAAGUCAAAAAAAAAAACAAAUUCUGACCUCCCAUUUCUUUAGCCAUUUCAAAAAUAAAGUCACUUGAUUGGUCCUGAAAGAUGAGCCAACCAGAAGUGGUGACCCGUUACCCUAAGCACCAAUGCUAAAAGUGAG